rnacentral:rRNA from 1 species
UGGGGAAUAUUGCACAAUGGGGGAAACCCUGAUGCAGCGACGCCGCGUGAACGAAGAAGGUAUUCGUAUCGUAAAGUUCUGUCCUAUGGGAAGAUAAUGACAGUACCAUAGAAGAAAGCUCCGGCUAAAUACGUGCCAGCAGCCGCGGUAGUACGUAUGGAGCGAGCGUUGUCCGGAAUUAUUGGGCGUAAAGGGUACGCAGGCGGUUUAAUAAGUCGAAUGUUAAAGAUCGGGGCUCAACCCCGUAAAGCAUUGGAAACUGAUAAACUUGAGUAGUGGAGAGGAAAGUGGAAUUCCUAGUGUAGUGGUGAAAUACGUAGAUAUUAGGAGGAAUACCAGUAGCGAAGGCGACUUUCUGGACACAAACUGACGCUGAGGUACGAAAGCGUGGGGAGCAAACAGG